AUGAUGUAAAUAUAUGCAUUAGGCUUAGGUUGCAUCACUGUCAAGUAUCACGCAAGGCAAGAGUGUCAACUGAAGACAUGAAGAGGGGUCAACCAAGCACAUUCCAUCACAUACAUGUACAUGUAGAAAGUAAAGAGUCUAUGAUUUUUAGUUCUACCCAACAUGGAAAAUUCUGUAUAAUGCACAUACAGCACAUGUUCUUAACAGACUUAGCAAACCGCCUGAGAAGAAAAACAUGACACCGCAAAUCACUGAAAAGCAGUCUUCCCUUCUGAGAAUUGAAGGAAACUAGAACAAUAAGCAAGAAGAGGAACACUGCAUCUGUUGCUGAUGCUUGCUUGAUUUAAAUUGAAGCGUGAGCGAGGAGCCUAAAAACGGCUGCAAAGGAGACUACCUGAGAAGAGGACCAUUAAAAAAAAAAAGCACUGAGAAUGAUUUGAGAUUGGCACCCCAAGAUCAGGUCAAGUUCGCAGACGCGACUCCUCCUCAGUACCUUUUUUGGUGUUAAGUGGAGUUCUUCAAGAGAAAGAAUUAUUGCUGCCUUAUCAGAAAUAAAAAAAAACAAACCUGAUAAUUAUUAUAAUUACA
rnacentral:misc_RNA from 1 species